rnacentral:rRNA from 1 species
UACGUAUGGUGCAAGCGUUAUCCGGAUUUACUGGGUGUAAAGGGAGCGCAGGCGGCGCGGCAAGUCCGAUGUGAAAACCCCCGGCCCAACCGGGGGACUGCAUUGGAAACUACCGGGCUGGAGUGCCGGGGAGGUAGGCGGAAUUCCUGGUGUAGCGGUGAAAUGCGUAGAUAUCAGGAGGAACACCAGUGGCGAAGGCGGCCUACUGGACGGUGACUGACGCUGAGGCUCGAAAGCGUGGGGAGCAAACAGG